GCACCCGUAGCUCAAUUGGACAGAGCAUCUGACUUCGGAUCAGAGGGUUGGGGGUUCAAAUCCCUCCGGGUGUACCA
rnacentral:tRNA from 1 species